rnacentral:rRNA from 1 species
UUCCCCUAGUAACUGCGAGUGAAGCGGGAAAAGCUCAAAUUUAAAAUCUGGCGGUCUUUGGCCGUCCGAGUUGUAAUCUAGAGAAGUAAUGCCCGUGCUGGACCGUGUAUAAGUCUCCUGGGAUGGGGCGUCAUAGAGGGUGAGAAUCCCGUCUUUGACACGGACUACCAGUGCAUUGUGGUAUGCUCUCAAAGAGUCGAGUUGUUUGGGAAUGCAGCUCAAAAUGGGUGGUAAAUUCCAUCUAAAGCUAAAUAUUGGCGAGAGACCGAUAGCGAACAAGUACCGUGAGGGAAAGAUGAAAAGAACUUUGGAAAGAGAGUUAAACAGUACGUGAAAUUGCUGAAAGGGAAACGCUUGAAGUCAGUCGCGUUGGCCAGGGAUCAGCCUUGCUCUUGCAUGGUGUACUUUCUGGUUGACGGGUCAGCAUCAAUUUUGACCGCUGGAAAAGGGCCUGGGGAAUGUGGCAGCUUCGGCUGUGUUAUAGCCCCUGGUCGCAUACGGUGGUUGGGAUUGAGGAACUCAGCACGCCGCAAGGCCGGGUUUCGACCACGUUCGUGCUUAGGAUGCUGGCAUAAUGGCUUUAAGCGACCCGUCUUGAAACACGGACCAAGGAGUCUAACAUGCCUGCGAGUAUUUGGGUGGAAAACCCAAGUGCGCAAUGAAAGUGAAAGUUGAGAUCCCUGUCGUGGGGAGCAUCGACGCCCGGACCAGAACUUUUGGGACGGAUCCGCGGUGGAGCAUGUAUGUUGGGACCCGAAAGAUGGUGAACUAUGCCUGAAUAGGGUGAAGCCAGAGGAAACUCUGGUGGAGGCUCGUAGCGAUUCUGACGUGCAAAUCGAUCGUCAAAUUUGGGUAUAGGGGCGAAAGACUAAUCGAACC